AUGGCCCGCCUCGGCCUCCGGCGCUUUCCGCCGCUGAUGCUCCUCCUCCUACUCCUCUUCACCCUCGUCGUCGCGGAGGUGGCGGCGGGGAAGGGGAAGAAGAGGGGCGACGGCGGCGGCGGGCUGCGGUUCCGGCGGGAGGGCGGCACGUUCAAGGUGCUGCAGGUGGCGGACAUGCACUACGCGGACGGGCGGAGCACCGGGUGCGAGGACGUGCUGCCCGAGCAGGUCGCCGGCUGCUCCGACCUCAACACCACCGCCUUCCUCUACCGCGUCAUCCGCGCCGAGGACCCCGACCUCGUCGUCUUCACAGGCGAUAACAUUUUUGGCGCGGAUUCAACCGACGCGGCCAAGUCGAUGGACGCGGCCAUCGCUCCGGCCAUCACCAUGAACCUUCGCUGGGCUGCUGUGCUCGGUAACCAUGACCAGGAGGGCACCCUGUCGCGGGAGGGUGUGAUGCGCCACCUUGUAGGCAUGAAGAACACCCUGUCACGCUUCAACCCUGAAGGAGUAGAGAUCGACGGCUUCGGAAAUUAUAACCUCGAAGUUGGUGGGGUUGAAGGAACACUGCUGGCUAACAAAUCAGUGCUCAACCUUUAUUUUCUCGACAGUGGUGACCGUUCUACUGUAUGGUGGAUCCCUGGUUAUGGUUGGAUCAAGGCUUCACAGCAAGCUUGGUUCAAGCAAACCUCUUUGAGUCUGCAGAAAAACUACAGGAAUGAAGAACCUAGACAGAAGGAGCCGGCACCUGCUCUUGCAUACUUCCACAUUCCAUUGCCGGAGUUCAGCAGUUUCACAGCAUCCGAUUUCACAGGAGUGAAGCAGGAGAGUAUCAGCUCGCCAUCAAUCAACUCCGGUUUCUUUACCACGAUGGUGGAAGCCGGAGAUGUGAAGGCUGCCUUCAUAGGACAUGAUCACAUAAAUGACUUCUGCGGGAAGCUCACCGGUAUUCAGCUCUGCUAUGCCGGUGGCUUGGGUUACCACGCGUAUGGGAAGGCCGGGUGGUCGAGGAGAGCAAGAGUGGUGUCUGUGCAGCUUGAGAAGACAGUGAGCGGCGAGUGGCAAGGCGUGAAAUCUAUCAAGACAUGGAAGAGGCUUGAUGACCAACAUCUGACCACGAUUGACUCCGAGGUUCUUUGGAACAGAGGCUCUAAUGGAAGGAUCAUGACAGAAGCUGAGUUCAGGCUUGGGGACAGCGAGUGA
rnacentral:rRNA from 1 species